CCUGCCCAAGAGAUCGGGAUAACACCUGGAAACAGAUGCUAAUACCGGAUAACAACAGAUGAUGCCUAUCAACUGUUUAAAAGAUGGUUCUGCUAUCACUCUUGGAUGGACCUGCGGUGCAUUAGCUAGUUGGUAGGGUAACGGCCUACCAAGGCGAUGAUGCAUAGCCGAGUUGAGAGACUGAUAGGCCACAUUGGGACUGAGACACGGCCCAAACUCCUACGGGAGGCAGCAGCA
rnacentral:rRNA from 1 species